GGGAGUUUAAGCUCUAGCUUCAGCCUGAUGUUUUUAACCAACUAGGCCCGCCAACCCACAAGCAGAUAGAAAAUAAGCUGAUUCUAUAGGACAGAAAAAGGAAGAGGGCAGGGGUCAUAAGGGGAUGUAAGCAUAAGAUACCCAAGCCAGAAACAGCAACCCUUCCAGGUCCCCUUCCCCCACGUGGAAGCUUUCCUUUCACUUUCGCUUUAAUAAAUCUUGCCGCAGCACACUCUCUAAUCGAGCUGUAACACUCGCCACUGCCGUCCACGGCUUCAUUCCUUGAAGCCGUGAGACCACGAACCCUUCGAUUGAGAAGAACCUUCGGUCGGAAGAAGACUUCUCGUCUCAGUAACAAUAACAAGAAAAACAGCCUAGACUAGACGCACAUCAGGAAGACAGUUAAUCCCGUCAUGUAUUGACCCGGAAACAUCAUCUCAUUUGCCUAUAAGACAGAGAGAGAGAAUGAUAGAAAUGCUGGAAGAACGAGCCUUGGGGCGGUAUCGCCCAGAUCUGAAUCCACACAGCAGCUGCUUCGGUCCCUGUAACUCAAGGCUUCCUCUUAAUCCUCUGUCCUCCAUCAACACCUGGCUGAGCAGGAACAACUAUGACCUAGGACCAGGGCCUUCAGGAAUCUUCACCCCUAACUUGAACUUCAUAACACUGGAGAGAGAGACUGUGGAAUGGAAUGACUCUCCAGAGCUGCAGAUUGAAGGCAUAUUUUCAUCUGACUUUGAUCUCAAUGGCGGGAACACCUUCAUGGCCCCUUUAUAGCUGGAUGAUCAUUUCCUGUUCUCUCCACCAUGGCCACCUGGUCCAAGCCACCAUCUUCAUGCACCUGGAUACCUGCCAUAACCUCAGCUGACCUUUCCUGUGUCCAUUCUUGUUCCUUUGGGCCCAGUCUCCUCGCUCAUAGCAGCAGAAUGAGUCUAUUAAAAAGUGAAACAAUUUCUGUCACUUCCUGGCUCAAAAGUCUCCAAUAGUUUCCCCAUGGAUUGGAAUAAAAUGUAGGUUCUAACCAUGGGGUACCAUGUAAGUUUAGGUUCACCUGUAAGUCACAGGAAAAAAAAAUAUAUAUAUAUAUAUGUAUAUAUCACACACACAC
rnacentral:lncRNA from 1 species